GGGUGGCGGCGUGCUCGAAAAUGUUAAAGUUCUUAUUUCAUGGUAUAACUUUGGUAUGCUUGGACCUAGAGUCUUCAAACUUGACAUGAAGGUUGGCCAGGAUUAACAGAUGACCACUGGUCAUUUCAAGGUCAUUCAUUUGAAGGUCAAGGUCACUGUGACCUUCAAUAUAAAAAAUGUUAAAGUUGUUAUAACUUUGGUAUGCUUGGACCUAGAGUCUUGAAACUUGACAUGAAGGUUGGCCAGAACUAGUAAGUAACCACUGGACAUUUCAAGGUCAUUCAUUUGAAGGUCAAGGUCACUGUGACCUUGAAUGUAAAAAUGUUAAAGUUCUUAUUUCAUGUUAUAACUUUGGUAUGCUUGUACCUAGAGUCUUCAAACUUGAAAUAAAGAUUGGCCAGUACUAGAAGAUGACCACUGGUCAUUUCAAUGUCAUUCAUUUGAAGGUCAAGGUCACUGUGACCUUAAAUGUUAAAAUGUUAAAAUUGUUAUAACUUUGGUAUGCUUGGACAUAGAGUCUUCAAACUUGACAUGAAGGUUUGCAAGCACACUUAGAUGACCACUGGUCAUUUCAAGGUCAUUCAUUCUAAGGUCAAGGUCACUGUGACCUUGAAUGUAAAAAUGUUAAAGUUCUUAUAACUUUGGUAGGUAAAAAUGUUAAAGUUCUUAUUCCAUGUUAUAACUUUGGUAUGCUUGUACCUAGAGUCUUCAAACUUGACAUAAAGGUUGGCCAGUACUAGAAGAUCACCACUGCUCAUUUCAAUGUCAUUCAUUUGAAGGUCAAGGUCACUGUGACCUUCAAUGUUAAAAUGUUAAAAUUGUUAUAACUUUGGUAUGCUUGGACCUAGAGUCUUGAAACUUGACAUGAAGGUUGGCCAGAACUAGUAAGUAACCACUGGACAUUUCAAGGUCAUUCAUUUGAAGGUCAAGGUCACUGUGACCUUGAAUGUAAAAAUGUUAAAGUUCUUAUUUCAUGUUAUAACUUUGGUAUGCUUGUACCUAGAGUCUUCAAACUUGAAAUAAAGAUUGGCCAGUACUAGAAGAUGACCACUGGUCAUUUCAAUGUCAUUCAUUUGAAGGUCAAGGUCACUGUGACCUUAAAUGUUAAAAUGUUAAAAUUGUUAGAACUUUGGUAUGCUUGGACAUAGAGUCUUCAAACUUGACAUGAAGGUUUGCAAGCACACUUAGAUGACCACUGGUCAUUUCAAGGUCAUUCAUUCUAAGGUCAAGGUCACUGUGACCUUGAAUGUAAAAAUGUUAAAGUUCUUAUAACUUUGGUAGGUAAAAAUGUUAAAGUUCUUAUUCCAUGUUAUAACUUUGGUAUGCUUGUACCUAGAGUCUUCAAACUUGACAUAAAGGUUGGCCAGUACUAGAAGAUCACCACUGCUCAUUUCAAUGUCAUUCAUUUGAAGGUCAAGGUCACUGUGACCUUCAAUGUUAAAAUGUUAAAAUUGUUAUAACUUUGGUAUGCUUGGACCUAGAAUCUCAAACUUGACGUAAAGGUUUGCAAGCACACUUAGAUGACCACUGGUCAUUUCAAGGUCAUUCAUUUCAAUGUCAUUCAUUUGAAGGUCAAGGUCACUGUGAACUUAAAUGUUAAAAUGUUAAAAUUGUUGUAACUUUGGUAUGCUUGGACCUAGAAUCUCAAACUUGACGUAAAGGUUUGCAAGCACACUUAGAUGACCACUGGUCAUUUCAAGGUCAUUCAUUUGAAGGUCGAGGUCACUGUGACCUUGGAUGUAAAUAUGUUAAAGUUGUUAAUACUUUGGUAUGCUUAGACCUAGAGUCUUCAAACUUGAUAUGAAGGUUGGCCAGAACUAGUAGAUGACCACUGGUCAUUUUAAGGUCAAGGUCACCGUGACCUUGAAUGUAAAAAUGUUAAAA